UAAAACGCCCGUAGUUGGAUCAGCGGAUUUGGAGAACGGUCUGCCGAUGGGCUGUACUGUUCUCCUGUCCUAUUUUCUCUAGUUCGCUCUAGGUGCUCUUCACUGAGUGUCUAGAGUGGCUGGAACUUUUACUUUGAAAAAAUUAGAGUGCUCAAAGCAGGCGUCUCAGCCUGAAUAGUGGUGCAUGGAAUAAUGGAAUAGGACCUCAGUUCUAUUUUGUUGGUUUUCGGAACAUGAGGUAAUGAUUAAGAGGGACAGACGGGGGCAUUCGUAUUGCGACGUUAGAGGUGAAAUUCUUGGAUCGUCGCAAGACGAACUACUGCGAAAGCAUUUGCCAAGAAUGUUUUCAUUAAUCAAGGACGAUAGUUAGAGGUUCGAAGGCGAUCAGAUACCGCCCUAGUUCUAACCGUAAACGAUGUCAACCAGCGAUCCGCAGGAGUUAUUCAUGACUCUGCGGGCAGCUUCCGGGAAACCAAAGUUUUUGGAUUCCGGGGGGAGUAUGGUUGCAAAGCUGAAACUUAAAGGAAUUGACGGAAGGGCACCACCAGGAGUGGAGCUGCGGCUUAAUUUGACUCAACGCGGGGAAACUCACCCGGCCCGGACACCGUAAGGAUUGACAGAUUGAGAGCUCUUUCUUGAUUCGGUGGGUGGUGGUGCAUGGCCGUUCUUAGUUGGUGGAGCGAUUUGUCUGGUUAAUUCCGAUAACGAACGAGACUCUAGCCUACUAAAUAGAAGGCAAAUUAUUCGUUUGCUGUACUUCUUAGAG
rnacentral:rRNA from 1 species